rnacentral:tRNA from 1 species
UCUUGCGCUUGGGUCGGGCCGGACCGGGGACGUUGUAGCCGUCUUCCUCGUCGUCGAUCACGUCGAUGCGCUUGAGC